rnacentral:rRNA from 1 species
UACGGGGGGAGCAAGCGUUGUUCGGAUUUACUGGGCGUAAAGGGCGCGUAGGCGGCGUGACAAGUCACUUGUGAAAUCCCCGGCUUAACCUGGGAAUGGCAUUCGGGACUGCAAGGCUGGAGUGCGGCAGAGGAGACUGGAAUUCCUGGUGUAGCAGUGAAAUGCGUAGAUAUCAGGAGGAACACCGAUGGCGAAGGCAGGUCUCUGGGCUGACACUGACGCUCAUGCACGAAAGCGUGGGGAGCAAACAGG